rnacentral:snoRNA from 1 species
CAGCUAGCCAAUGAAUCUGCUUACCUGAAAGAGUUUCUGCAGAAAUUUUUAAGAAGUUGGCAAUUGGGGGUUGGCGCCUGUGGCUCAGUGGGUAGGGCACCAGCCCCAUAUACCA